rnacentral:rRNA from 1 species
GGGGGCCCGCAAGCGGUGGAGCAUGUGGUUUAAUUCGAUGCAACGCGAAGAACCUUACCUACUCUUGACAUCCAGCGAACUUAGCAGAGAUGCUUUGGUGCCUUCGGGAACGCUGAGACAGGUGCUGCAUGGCUGUCGUCAGCUCGUGUUGUGAAAUGUUGGGUUAAGUCCCGCAACGAGCGCAACCCUUAUCCUUUGUUGCCAGCGAUUCGGUCGGGAACUCAAAGGAGACUGCCGGUGAUAAACCGGAGGAAGGUGGGGAUGACGUCAAGUCAUCAUGGCCCUUACGAGUAGGGCUACACACGUGCUACAAUGGCGCAUACAAAGAGAAGCGACCUCGCGAGAGCAAGCGGACCUCACAAAGUGCGUCGUAGUCCGGAUCGGAGUCUGCAACUCGACUCCGUGAAGUCGGAAUCGCUAGUAAUCGUGGAUCAGAAUGCCACGGUGAAUACGUUCCCGGGCCUUGUACACACC